AGACUUUGUCUACUUAUACUUUUCUCCUUACUAAAGUUUCUCUUUCAUAAUUUUUUUUUUUUUUUUUUUUUGCUUUGAGUAUCCAGUUUCCCCACCUUUAGUGAGACUAGUCCCGUUCGAGGACCGGUCGCAGAGUCCAACUCUUAUUCGAGAGUAAAGGUUUGGACCAAAAUUUCUCAAGACGCCAAAUACAAGAGUCGAACAUGCGAUUUCUCGUUGACAUUAGUAACCUGAUUACCAACUGCCUCAAACUCGUAGGUUUCUCUAUUUCAUAGUUAACGAACUUUGAACGCAAACUUUUGCGCGUCCGAUCUAGACUGCUUUCCUUCCUUCAGGGAAACUCUCUUUUUUUUUGUUUCCUUUUUCUUUUGAGGUAGACCUACGUAGACUUCUAAAGUCGUUGGUCAUUGUACUAAAGUCAUCGUUGUUUUGCUUGUUAGCCCCAGUUGGUGGUACACGAAACUUUAAGAGCAUUUUCCAUAUCGGAUAGGUGUUGAUAGAAGUAUGGACGUUGAGCUUUCAUUGUCAUCUACAGAUAUCACAUAGUAAAUAUGUCAAAUUAGCGUUUUGAUACCGGCAUUAAUUAGUCAAGUCGUUCUUACUUCUAGCGUUUUGGUACAGGCAUUAAUUAGUCAAGUCAUCCUUACUUCUAUCAAUUUUGGGAUUCAACUAUAAGGGGCAGAAACAUGCAGCUAGGACCUACUUAGCAAUUCUGCUUGUAGGGGCACAAAAACAUAGUAUCUUAUCUUGUUUUUAUUCUUAGUUCCUACAAUUCUAUUCUUCUCUUUUUUUUCUUUCUUUUUCCACACGGAGAUGGCAAACCAAGUUGAAUGUAGACAAGGAAUCUCUUUUGAUUUAUUGAUGACCAGAAGGAAAUUCUUAUCGGACAAAUUCAGUCAGAUUUUGUUGUAUUUGCAUUUCCAAGCAAUUUCAUACUGGGCUCCAUAUCCAUUGAUACUUAGGACGAAGAUGCAUUUAUUUUAUUAUACAUGAAAAUUCUACUGAGUGAUGGAAAACGUAGCUGGGUUAAUACUCUACCCACUCUUUUCCAUAACAAAGUCACAAGUUAGCAAUUACUACUUUGUAACUAAUUGCGGUUUAUAAUUUUCGAAAGAAAAAAAAAACCAACUGCGUAAAAUCAACUAAUUGUGUCAUUGAUUAAAAAAGUAUUUUAGUUCCACACUUCCAUUGGAAUAAAAAUGCCAACACUACAUUGGCUAAUCCAUGAAUAGUAAUCCCAAUCUCAAUUACAAAUUCAGGAAAAGUUACACCCUUAUGAAUUUUGCAGCUUCCAAUUCCCAUUUUUCACGUUUUUCUUUCUUUUUAUUUUUUUUCUCUUUUAACUUUUAGAGGCUUGAAAUUCUAUUGACCUGGGAGGCUUUCACAUUUCCACGAUAGACCCGUAGGAUUGAGAUAUAUAGUGUUUAUUGGGAUCCACUCAUAAAAUGAUGGACAUUGAUAACUGAUUAUCGACUUGAAUUCUGAGGGAACCAUUUGUAUGCUGAUUAAUUCUACACUUGUUGCAGAUUUGAUCUCAUAAUUAAUAAAAUUAUUCUAUUUUAUUAUUUAAAAAAUUCUGAGGGAAGUAAAUCCCGAUUUCAAUACUGAGUCCUUCAUUGUUCUUAUUAUUUUCCAAUUUACUCCUCCUGUUGUUAAUGUUGCAGAAUAGUCUUUUUCCUUGUGAGCCCAGUUGAUGGCAACACGAAAAUCAAGUCGAGUAAAUCCAAAAAAUUUUAAAAGAGAAAAAAUCUCAACACUUUUUUUUUUUUGAUAAUAGAAAAAAUCUCAAGACUUAGAUGGGAUCUUUAACAAUUCGCACGCUAAAUGUCUUAUUGAAAAAUGCGUCCGCCUAAAUCUCUUACUGGUUAGUGUUUUCCAUACAUAGAAAAAUCGUACUUUAAUGAGUUAUAAAGACCUAGUUGUUUCCUUUGUAUUGUUUAUUGAUUUCUUGCAAUUCAAAAUUAUGUAAAUAUUAUUAUUGUCCCAUGUUGGGCUUGAACCUGAAAAAAAAUAAAAUCAAAUCAAUCUCGCUGAGUAAGAUGAAUCUCCAAUAAAGACUAAGAUAAUUGUUUUGAACUAAGAACAUCAAAAUUUUUGAGGUAGGAGUAAUAGCACAUAACUUCCCCGAAUCUACUUUUUAGUCAAUAUUAGAGCAGGCAUAACGACACAGUUAUCCGAAAGAAAAGCUUAAAGUUUUGUAGUAGCACAAAAUUUCUGUAAUCUGCUGCUUAACAAUCGCAAGUUUUUGAAUCAAUUUUAAGCCAAGUUCAGAGAUCAGAGUAACCACAACAAUGUAACUAUAAGGAAGACUGAACCAAUCCUUAUUCUUGUUUUGAAUGCGCUAGAAGAACCUUAAUAUAUUUGUGUCCGAUUGAAAAGUUUUCGGGUGCCUUCACUACAAAUCAUUAGGGUGAUGCAUGAGGAGAAGAAAAGGUGUCGAGCCUGCAUAAUAAUAAAUACUUACGCGACAGAAAUACAAAUUUUGUAUAUAGCGGUGAACAGGGUCGAAUCCACAGGAAUUGGGGAUGAUUCGUUUCUUCUAGAAUUCAGAAUAUGAGGGGAUUUAAAAAAUAUAAAAUAACUAAUUAACUAACUAAUGAAACAACUAAUAGAAAUAAACAGGAAUUAAACAAUAACCAAUAACCAAUAACCAAUACAACUCUAGUUAAAGGUGCAAUUUUUCAGAUACGGUCCAUUUAACUAAUAAUCUAUGUAAAGAUAAUUCAAUUACUCACUAAUAGAUUGGUUAUAGUUGUCAUGCACGCGAUAAACAACCAGUCUUUCCUUACUUUUUCGAUAGUCAAGGUACGAUCAUUAACUAUUUCUCUAACCAAAAAAUAAUCCUAGGUACGAUCAUAGGAUUUAAUUUCUCGAUUGCAAUAAGAAUUAGAAAAAUUUAACUCUAACUAACAAAUACGCUACGAGGAUUCGUUUAAGUUAGAUCAUACGUUUCCCUAACAUGAAACCAAUCACGCUAGUUGCCACUGGUAUUAAUCAAUUGAAUAAUUACGGAUUCAACCAAUUAAUCUAGUAGUAGAUUAUUAGGUUAAUUCGAAUAUCAGGGCAUUGAUAUUCAAAUAACAUAACAAUCAUAAAAAGUUAAAUUAGGAAACGUACAAAUACUAAUAAAUAAAAGAAAAUAAGUAAAAUAAUUUGAUCUCACAAAUGUUUGGAACCGAGUUCUCAAAUUGGCCUUCGACUAGAAAAUAAAGAUUCAGCUACACAUUCUCAAGGGAAAUCCAUGAAAUUUCCUUGAAGCCAUUCGCAUGAGUAUUCCACUGAAAGGAAGAAAAAAUGCCGAGAUCAGCCAAGUGGCAGUCUCCCCUUUUCUUGUUCCCUGGCCAAGGUAGUAAUCACGUGGGAUUCUGGCCUUUUUUCCUCUUUGUUUCCUAAUUGAAGUCUACUACUUCGCCCAUCCAUUGGCCAACCAAAAAUAGAAUUCUAAUUGCAAAAGGAAACUUCUCCAAAUAAUGCUAAUUGUUUCCUAAUAAGACAUCUAAUAAAAAGUGGCAAUCCCCUAAUCUUCAACCAAUACUCCACGUAGACUCUAUCUUAAUUUGGAAAACUCUUGAAAAAUCCCCUCUUUUAUUACUUUUUACUCCACCUUCCUACAAUUGACACAAAAUACCAAAUAUAAGUAGAAUCAAUCAAUUAAUACAAUAUUUGGUAAUAUAAACGAGGGAAACAAUCAUAAAAUUAAUGAUAAAAAUGUAACCUAUCAUUAGGGUGAUGCAUGAGGAGAGGAAAACAAUGUAAACAUUAAUGUAUAAUUUUUUUUUUUUUGAAAAAAACUAAUGACGAAUGAUGUAUAUGAUAAAAGAAAGUAUGAAAUAUUCGUGAAAAGUGCUAAUUAGCUCAAAUAUCAAGAUCAGCUUUUGGAGAAGUUUUUCUUGGGGAAAUUUUGGAAAGGGGAACAGGAAAAUUUUAAAUUCAUGAGAAGGGAAUAAGUUUUAAGAAAUUUGUAAAUGGGUUAUUGAUUACUAUUCUUAUAUUAAGCAAAAAAUUAGUGCUGCAGGAAAAUCAUGAAUGUGUACAUAUGUUAUUAUAACAUUGUUAUAUGUUCACAAUUUCAGUAUACACACGUACAUAAAUAUCAAUUUAAAUAUACACUAUAUAUAUAUAUAUAUAUAUAUAUAUAUAUAAGAGAUGUACAUAUAUAUUCAUUAAGCGUACAUUUUUAUUCAUUAAGAUCCAAAUUACUGUUUAAUAAAAUGCACACAGUUAUAAGGGUGAAUUGGACAUCUAAUAAUAAAUUUAUUUGCUUUUAUAAUUCACGAAUACUAAACCCUAUCUCAAUUACAAAUUCAGGAAAAAUUACAAUCUUAUGACUUUUGCAUCUUUCAAUUUGCAUUUUUCACAUUUUUCUUUCUUUCCUUUUUUUCCACUUAACUUUUAGACCCUCGAAUUUGGAGUGAUCUGUGGAGUAUCAACACUACUCCACCAACCAUGCGUUUUCUUUUAUUGGAAUGACGACCAUUGGCAGCUGAAUCUUGAAUUCUGAGGAAGGCAAAACUCGACUUGAAUGCUGAGUCCAAUAUACUCUUUCGGUUGUCAACGUUUUGCAGAUUAGGGUAUUUUUCUUGUAAGCCCGAGUUGAUGGUAACGCGAAAAUAAAGUUGAGCAAAUCAAAAAAUUUUAAAAGAGCAAAAAAUCUCUAGGCCUAGGUGUAGUUUUUCACAAUUUGCACGCUAAAUGUCUAAUUGGAAAAUGGGCUUCAGUAGUCAAAAAGGUUAUAGCGAGGAAGACUUUCUCUACUUAUACUUUUCUCAGUAAAGUUUCUCUUUUAUAAUAUUUUUUUUUUUUUUGCUUUGAUCAUCCGAUGCCCCCACCUUCAGUAAAACUAUCCAGAUUUGAUCUGAGGAGCGCUCGUAGAGUCCACCCUUAUUCGAGGGUGAAGGCUGGACCAAAACUUUUCAAAACAGCACAUGCAAGAGUCGAACAUGCAACCUCCCAUUGACAUUAGCAACCCAGUUAUCAAUUGUCCCAAAGCUCAUAAGUUUCUCUCUUUCACAAUUAACGAGCUCUGAAUGCAAACUUCUGCAUGUCCAAUCUAGUGUGCUUUCCUCCCUUCAGGGAAACUCUCUUUUUUUUUUUUCCCCUUUUUCUUUUGAGGUAGACCUAUGUAGACUUUAAAAGUCGUUGGUCUUUGUACUAAAGUCAUCUUUUUUUUUUUUUUUUGCUUGUUAGCCCCAGUUGAUGGUACACAAAACUUUAAGAGCAGUUUCCAUAUCAGAAAGGAUGGAAAAGUUCAAAUGAAUUGCCGUAUAAGUGUUGAUAGAAGUGUGGAUGUUGAGCAAAACUUCAAUGUGAUCUACAGAUAUCACAUAGUAAAUAUGUCAACUUAGCGUUUUGAAACAUCAAGAUCAGGCUUUAAUUAGUCAAGUCAUUCUUUCUUCUAUCAAUUUUGGGUCCAACUAUAGGUGGUUGUAUGUAAUUUUUCCAACUUUUUAUUCUUGUUACACACCACGUAAGUGGAAAACUUUUAAUGGUGUAUUGUAAUGGUACCAUCGUAAAUUUUCAUGUUGUAUUUUUAGUAUAACAAAUGAUGCACUUCAAUUCUCCACACCUUAUACUUACAAAAAAUAUGUUCUUCAAAGUCACCCUAAAUCGCAUCCCCAUUUAAAAAAGAAUAUGUCUGCUAAAUUGAGAUAAAAAAAGAAAAUUAUCAAUUUUGGUCGAAAAACAUUAAAAGCAGAAAGCUUACACACCGCGUCAUGAACAUCACUCCUUAAUGGUCAGUCUACACCAAAAGCCAGUUCAAACGUAUGAUUGCGCAAUUUUCUGCAAUGGGGCAGAAACAUGCAGCUAUGGCCUACUUAGCAAUUCUGCGCCACAAAAAAAAAAUAUAGUACUUGCAGAAGACAACUCAAUAUCUUAUCUUGUUUUUAUUCCUAGUUCCUACGAUUUAUUCUUCUCUUUUCUUCGUUCUUUUUCCACACGGAGAUGGCCAACCAAGUUGAAUGUUGACUGGGAAUCUCUUUUGAUUUAUUGAUGGAAGGAAAUUCUUAUCAUACUAUUUCAGUCAGAUUUUGUAGUAUUUGCAUUUCCAAGCAAUUUCAUACUGGGCUUCAUAUCCAUUGAUAUUUAGGACGAAGAUACAUUUAUUUUAUUGUACAGGAAAAUUCUACUGAGUGAUGGAAAAUGUAGCUGGGGUAAUUGACUAAAAUGUACUUGUAGCUAAUACUCUAACCCUUCUUUACCGGUAAAACCAACAGGCGGAUUGAUCAGAUGACUUUAGAAGAAGACUUUAGAUAUAUUAAGCAAGUGCUAAUACAGUGAGUAUUGCUGUACAAAGUUACAAGUUACAGAUCAUUGAGAGUAGUUUGCAAUUACCACAUGUGACUCGUUGUGGCUUCUAAUUUUCAAAACAAAAAAAAAAAAUCAACUGCAUAAUUAUGAAGAGCUUGACAAGAUAAAAUUAACUAAUUUUGUCAUUGAUUUAAAAUGUGUUUUAGUUCCACACUAGUCUACUCCAUUUCUUGGCUACAGAGUUGCACAGUUGUUCUGUUGACUCUUCAGAGCAUUUCGAAAAUUUCUUUCAUUGAAAGACGGUCAUUUGGGGUCAUUUGGACGCACCACAAUGCUUUCAAAACUAAACUAAUUUCCCCGCAAUUUCAUUUUCUUCUUCAGUCAUACGAUCUCCAAUUUCCUUGUCCUCCUCUUGGUUGAACUUUUCUCUUUGUAUUAUUAUAACAUUUUUGAUUGAUAAUCGUCACAGGAAGAUUAAUCAACUUCUAGAAUACCAACAAGCAUACUUUUCUUGUUGGGCUCCAUUGAUGGCCUAGUCUUUCUGUUGUUAUUGCUGUGUAAGAAAAUUAAAAUAACAUUUGCUCUGUUAGGCCGCAAUGGACCGUAACAUGAAAAUUUGGUUGAGCAGAAAAAUCCAACAGAAUCUAUAGCAAACGGAUAUAGCUAUAAACUGGGGAUGUCAACUUGAAAAUGCUUUUGGCUUGUUGCUUGAAAGCGAAUUCUUACAGCACAAAUUAUCAUAAAAAGGAGGUCAAGUGAAAGCUUUUGGACGUAUUGGCUUAUUGCUCAUAUUUAGAAAAUAUUAGAAAUAGUUUUACAGAAUAUUGGAAGCUACUGUCUACGAUAUAUCACAAUUGUAAAAUAACAAUCGACAUAUUAUGCAUAAGUCAAAAGCCACUCCUAAAGCUAAUGAAUUUCUUGAUUAACCACGGAUCAAUCUUUUAUCUUUCCCAAUUUGUUCAACUCAUCUCAAACAUUUACUCUUCCUAAAGGCAAGACUAAUUUUUUUCCCCUUUACAAUUCCUUCACCUAUAUUUUAAUUCAUAAUCAUUAAUUCUUUGGAAGUUAUACUUAUUUUAAGUUUUCAUUUAGAAUUUUUUGAUGAUUAUUAAUUUGUCAAAUAUUCUUAUUCUAAUAUUAUUUUUAUAUAUUUUAAUCACUUCAGCCAUUUUAGUUUUUAAACACGAGUAAUUUCGAUAUUUUUAUAGGUUCCGUUAUAAAUGAUUAUUUUCGUUAGUUUAAUACUUAAUCUAAAUUAUAAGGAGGUUAUAUAUAGCUUUUAAAACUAUAAAAGGAUUAUGUAAAAAAUAACUAUACCACGUGGGGGUAAAGUGUAUUUUGCCCUAAAAAAAAUGGCCACCAAACCCAAAUCACCUUUUCUCCCCCUUCUCCAUUUUCAUCUACCAAAACCCUAAGCAUAAGCCACCAAACCCAAACAAGAAUGUAAUUUUCCCAACCUUACAAAUGAAACUGGAAGCUCCACUAGGUUGAUGUUUCAAAUGAACCAAGAAGCAAGAAUUCCUCAAUAUGUUGAUGUACAAAUCCCUUCACCCAUGAGAACUCAUCGGGUCCUUUUGUGAUAAAAGGCCAAAACAAAAAUGAGUUUUAAUAAAUUUAUAGUUUAUACCUUCCUGCUAUGUAGGGAAUGCUAGUUGGAAAAUUAGCAAGGGAUAAUCUCAGUCAUUGCCUAAACAAUUUUAUGAUCUUCACUAUUGCUUUCGUAGCAGUGACCCUAUGUUGGAUCCCUACAAACCUGUGAGCACAAAAUCAGUAAAUUGAUGGUACCAAAUUGCAGGGAAAGGGAUCAAUCACAUGCCUAUGCUUUACUUACUCCAAUACAUGGUGCAAAAGUAUAUGAGAUUCCAGUAGCUCUAGUUUCAAGUGCAGUUGCAACUGCAAAAGUAUAUGGGAUUCCAGUAGCUCUAGUUUCAAGUGCAAUUGCAACUCCUAGCCUCUUCACAAGUUCUGGGGAUGGGAAAGAAAGCGUGGUUUGAGUUUGGUGGCUUAUUAUUAGAGUUUUGGUAGAUGAAAAUGGGGAAGAGGGAGAAAGGAUGGUUUGGGUUUGGCGGCAAUUUUUUUUUUUAACAAAGAGAACGAAGUGUAUUUCUAUUUUUGCCCUUGAAAAUAUGGACAUGUAACAGGGGUGUACAGUUUUUUAUUGGAGAAGUGAGAGGAAAUGAGUUCUAGAACCAAUUGGGUAGACUUUUUUAUAUAUUAGGAUCUAAUGUGGCUGAUUUUAAAUGUAAUGGACCAGAAAAAAAAUUUUGUUGAAAAUGUGAGGGACCAAUUUGGUAAUUGAUCCUCAAUAUUAAAUUAACUGGUCUUGACACAUCAUGAUAAGUUGUCAAUUAGUCAAAUGGUUUCAUUUUCUACUAUCAAUUUUGGGGUUCACGAAUUGAAGUCGUCUGUGGAAUUUUUGACUAAUAAAUCCGUAGAAUUCUACGAACCAUACUUUUUUGAGAUGGACUAGGUCUAAUGCUAGAAACUGGUUAGCAAAUGCAUUAAAAACUAGAUGCUGAACUCCACAGUCUCAAACCCUGAUUGGUUUCCUGAUAUCAAGACAUUUGCAAUUUGCAUGACAAAAUUUGUGGAAUUAUGAAUUUACUUGCAUACAGUCAGUCAACGGUCGUUUCACAUGACUAUUACAAUUGGUUUAGCUGAUUCCCAAUAUCCCUUUAACCAACUAAAUGUGGCUUUAUCAAAAGCAAUUUCGUGACAGAUUUAGAACAUCUCGCCAGCUGGAAGUAGACUUGACUGUUAACAUAUUCCUUGUGCUGCAGACCAUGAUCCUACCUUUGACGUUUACAGUGAAGAGCUCAGACAUGGAAACAGGGGGAUUGAUCACAGUGGCUAUUUGUUUUUCUGCUUAUAUCCACUGAGCAACUAAGUAUUGGCUUGGUGUUUUUCUUUUAUUUCCUUACUGCAUCAUAUCCGCUGUAUUUAGGACUAAUUCAGCGAUGCAAAUCAAUACUUCCACUAACUUUCAGUUGCUUUUUAAACUAUUGUCACGGUUAAUUUGUAUAAUGAAAUCUUCAAGUGAUCCAAACUCGGUCCAAUCACAUGUGGGCUGGUGGCCACCACCUAAGUGGGUGGGGUGGGAGGUAAGGGUUCAGAGCUAGUCUCCCACCAAAAAUGCUACAUUUAAGUAGUUUGUUUCUAAAAAAAUCCAGACGGGUGUGCUGUGCACCCGUCUGGUCCAGUGGUAGUUUAUUCCCCUCCGCAUUACCCCUAUACCUCCUUAGCUCCGGCCCCUCCCCCUUAGUGUAGGAUAGAUUAGGUUUAUCGUCUCCGAAAAAAAAAUCCAUUUACCUAAAUUUACCCAUAUCCGCCCAUGAAUAGAUGUGUAUGGGUAUAUUAAAUUUUUGCAUAUGAGUAUAAAUGGGUUACCCAAUAAUACCCAUUUAAUAAAUGGAUAUUAUUGGAUAACCCAUCAAACCCAAUUAACCCAUUUAAAACUGUCUUCUCUCAUACCAUCUCUCUUCCCCCACCCUUUUUUUUUUCAAAAUUUUCAUUUUAUCAAGAUGUUAACUACUUUUGUUUCAUUAUUAUUAUUAUUAUUAUUUGUUGGUUUUAUCUUAUCAUUUUAUUUUCUUUUAGUUUGUUAACUUGCUCAUUUUUCAACAUUACUAAUUUAUGACAAGUUUUAGCCUCUUUUCUUACUUUUUCAAAAUGAAAUUUUAAGUUUACACACAAAAAAAUACUAGAGGUUCAAAAUUUUUGAAUUAAGUUUUUAUAUUAACUUUUAUACUACUUAGUUCAAAUUUUUAUAUUCUUAUUGUUUAAUUAUUAAAUAGUAUGUAAUUUUGCGACAUAGAGUACGGAUGGGAAAAAAUUUAUAAUUAGCCUUAUUGAGCAUUAUAAGUAAAUAUUUAAAACUAAUGAUGGGUGUAAAGGAUGGUAUAAAUUGAUAACUUAGUUUGUAAAAAUGAAUUUACAAAAAAUUAAAAUAAAUGGGUUAUAAAUGGGUAAUUGGGUUACCCAAUUCAUUUUUGACUUACCUAUUUAUACCCAUCUAUUUUUUGAUGGGUAUAAAUGGAUUGAUUCACUUAUACCCAUUAUCCAUUUUAUCCAAUCCAAAUCCGCCCAAAUCACUCAUUUUGACACCUCUAUGCAUAUCACACAAUACCUGCAUUACUGGGACAUGCUGAGCAAAAGUAAAUUCAGUGUUAACGCAUAAAAUAAAGAAGCGUACUUGCUACUAUAUAUCGUAGUUGUAUUGAAGAAAUUAGAUAUUGCAGGUAAAUUUCUUUUGGUCUUCGUGUUAUUUAUUUUAGAGAUGAAAAGCAAACUUAAAACUGAGCGUUUGACAACAGGUCCAAUUAUAGGAUUUCUUUUUCUUGCAGUAGCAAUUAGUGCAGUUUGCCACAUUCAUUCCAGAAAGGAAAUAGACAAAGAAAACCAAAUGAGAAUCAGUAUAGUUUUAGCAGACUGCUGAUGGAUUCAAACGAGCUCUUCUUUAUGAGUUCCUACCAAAUGGUUCUUUAUGAGGUUAUACUAAAUUACUAAUUAAAUUUUUUAUUAAUUAUACAGUUUUUUUUUUUACACUAAUUAUACACUUCUUUUCCCUGCGGAUGUGGGUGGGACGGGGCAGGGGGAGCGAGUGACAGGGGAUGGAGCGGGGAAAUGUUUGGGCAAUAGGUUAUGCUGCAGCUCCUUCAAGAGCAUUUUUUACUACAUUUUUUUUUAAUUUCUUUUGAAUAAUCUCCUCUACAUUACAUCAAUUUCUUUCUUUUCACUCCUUAAAGUGAUGUUGAAAGUGGGACGGAUGCUGAUUUCAAAUCCUAUUAGUAUAAAACUCUUAUGGUUGGAGACAAAGAUGAUGAUUGAUAUGCAAUAUUUAUAAGUUUGAUGGGUUUUUUUUUUUUAUUUGUAGUAUUACACAUUUACACUGUAGUGCAUUUAUAUUGGGAAAUUGGAUUAUAUUUUCUUAAUUUCUAGAAACUUUGAUGGAAGCAUUUUUUAAAAAAAAAUCAAAUAGAUUGAGUAUUUCCCGCCUUUAUUCGGAAGUCUCUAAACUUUUAUUUUUUAAAUCUAUUUCUAGAAUACUUGUAUUUUUAAUUUCCCAUACCUGGCCGGUUGAACCAAUUGGACUGAAGCCGAACACUUGGCCAGGUCACCGCCGAGUUUAAACAACAAAUACCCGGCUGACUUAAAUUUGCAAGUCGACUGGUGAUUGGGUAUUAGAUUUUGGUUCCCCAAAUGCAAACCUAUGGAAGCUUGUCCAAAGGAAAAUAGUUAUACCCCUUCCAGUACUUGUAGGGAUCCUUUUUACAUGGAGAAAAAGAUGACUGCUAGUAGCUCGAUGCAUUCUUAAGGACUCAUUUCGCUUCCUUCUGUGUUUUUAGAGAGAGAGAGAGAGAGAGUAUUAUAGCAAUUUUGCAAAUCCUGUUUAGAUCUACUUGCUAGUUAAUUCGUCCGUGCUUGAUUUGUAUUCUGCAGUUAAAAAAAAGGCUCACAUGACAUACAAAGCUAUCAAUCUGCAAUAAGAUAGCCAAUUUAUGAUAUCAACAGGUAAUAAAAUCUGACAAAGAGUCGUUGAUUUCCAAUGGCGGCCUGUCAAUUUCACAUGCAAGUGCAUGAUGAUUUAGAAACCAGGAACUAGAAAGUUUGCAGCUGAAGAUAUGGGAUCACAAUUACAAUCAACAUUGAUUUCAACGGUAGCACGAUCCCUUGUUUGGCACAAACUAGAGGUUCUGCAAAGAAAAGUGAAAUAUGAGAGAACACAAAUUGAGAAAGCCACGCCUUUUCGUGUCCUGAAGAAAAACCUAGAUUUACUUCAGCCACCAUUAUUACAGAAGCUUGAAAAUACUCAUAAGAACUUCCUGUAUGGCCUCCCUGCAUCCUCAU
rnacentral:lncRNA from 1 species